CAGCAGUGGGGAAUAUUGCACAAUGGGGGAAACCCUGAUGCAGCCAUGCCGCGUGUGUGAAGAAGGCCUUCGGGUUGUAAAGCACUUUCAGUAGGGAGGAAGGUAGUGUAGUUAACACCUGCAUUAUUUGACGUUACCUACAGAAGAAGCACCGGCUAACUCCGUGCCAGCAGCCGCGGUAAUACGGAGGGUGCGAGCGUUAAUCGGAAUUACUGGGCGUAAAGCGCAUGCAGGCGGCCUGUUAAGUCAGAUGUGAAAGCCCGGGGCUUAACCUCGGAAUUGCAUUUGAAACUGGCAGGCUAGAGUCUUGUAGAGGGGGGUAGGAAUUUCAGGUGUAGCGGUGAAAUGCGUAGAGAUCUGAAGGAAUACCAGUGGCGAAGCGGCCCCCUGGACAAAGACUGACGCUCAGACUGCGAAAGCGUGGGAGCAAACAGGAUUAGAUACCCUGGUAG
rnacentral:rRNA from 1 species